GGUUCUAAUGGGAUUUACUUUGUGACUGAACUAACCGAACCUAAUCAUGCGGAUGUAAUUGGCUUAUUAAUUUGACACAUCAUGGGUAGCAAGAGGUUAUGGAUAAACAGAGAAACAAUCUCUGGUUCUAAUGGUACUAAUGUAAGUUGAAAAUUUUUAAGUUUUCAGUGAGCCAGUCAUCCCAAGCUG